rnacentral:rRNA from 1 species
AGCGAACGCUGGCGGCGUGCUUUAACACAUGCAAGUCGAGUGCGCGCCUGUAGCAAUACAGGUGGCGCACGGCGCACGGGUGCGUAAACACGUGGGCAAUCUGCCCUUCGAUGGGGAAUAACCCCGGGAAACCGGGGCUAAUUCCGCAUAAUAUUCCGAUGACUAACGUCAAUGGAUUCAAAGCCGUAAGGCGUCGAAGGAGGAGCCCGCGCACGAUUAGCUAGUUGGUGAGGUAACGGCUCACCAAGGCUAUGAUCGUUAGCUGGUCUGAGAGGAUGGCCAGCCACACUGGAACUGAGACACGGUCCAGACUCCUACGGGAGGCAGCAGUGGGGAAUCUUGCACAAUGGGCGAAAAGCCUGAUGCAGCGACGCCGCGUGGGGGAUGGAAGCUUUUCGGAGUGUAAACCCCUUUCGACCCGGACGAAUGCCCCGCAAGGGGACUGACGGUACGGGUAUAAGAAGCCCCGGCUAAACUAACGUGCCAGCCGCCGCGGUAAC